rnacentral:rRNA from 1 species
AUUGAACGCUAGCGGGAUGCCUUACACAUGCAAGUCGAACGGAGUGGCGAACGGGUGAGUAAUGUAUCGGCACGUGCCCAGUAGCGGUGGAUCACUACGCGAACGCGUAGCUAAUCCCGCAUACUAUUGGAGCGGCCGAUAUCGGAUUAGCUAGUUGGUGGGGUAACGGCUCACCAAGGCGACGAUCCGUAGCUGGUUUGAGAGGACGACCAGCCAAACUGGGAAUGAGAAACGGCCCAGACUCCUAAGGGAGGCAGAAGUGGGGAAGUUUGGACAAUGGGGGAAACCCUGAGCCAGCAAGCCCGCGUGUGCGAUGAAGGCCUUCGGGUUGGAAAGAACUUUUGGCAGGAAAGCGGUACCUGCAGAAUAAGCACCGGCUAACUACGUGCCAGCAGCCGCGGUAAUAC